rnacentral:rRNA from 1 species
GAGUUUGAUCCUGGCUCAGAAUUAACGCUGGCAGAGUGCAUAACACAUGCAAGUCGAGCGGGACUACCUGAGAUUACAUCAACUGGUAGUCUAGCGGCAGACGAGUGAGUAACACGUAGGCAACCUGCCCUUCAAUGGCGGAUAACCAGUCGAAAGACUGGCUAAUACGCCGUACUUUCCCCGAGAGGCAUCUCUUGGGGAAGAUAGGCCCGCAAGGGUCGUUGAAGGAGGGGCCUGCGUCCCAUCAGCUAGUUGGCGGUGUAAUAGACCACCAAGGCUACGACGGGUACCCGGCCUGAAAGGGCGGACGGGCACGAUGGCACUGAGACACGGGCCAUACUCCUACGGGAGGCAGCAGUGGGGAAUUUUGGACAAUGGGGGAAACCCUGAUCCAGCAAUGCCGCGUGUGUGAAGAAGGCCUUCGGGUUGUAAAGCACUUUCGAUGGGGAAGAAAAGCUCGGUGUUAAUACCGCCGAGUCUUGACGUUACCUAGAGAAGAAGCACCGGCUAACUCUGUGCCAGCAGCCGCGGUA